rnacentral:rRNA from 1 species
UACGUAGGGUGCAAGCGUUAAUCGGAAUUACUGGGCGUAAAGCGUGCGCAGGCGGUUUUGUAAGUCUGACGUGAAAUCCCCGGGCUUAACCUGGGAAUUGCGUUGGAGACUGCAAGGCUAGAAUCUGGCAGAGGGGGGUAGAAUUCCACGUGUAGUAGUGAAAUGCGUAGAGAUGUGGAGGAACACCGAUGGCGAAGGCAGCCCCCUGGGUCAAGAUUGACGCUCAUGCACGAAAGCGUGGGGAGCAAACAGG